AUUGAACGCUGGCGGCAUGCCUUACACAUGCAAGUCGAACGGCAGCACGGGAGCUUGCUCCUGGUGGCGAGUGGCGAACGGGUGAGUAAUAUAUCGGAACGUACCCUAGAGUGGGGAUAACGCAGCGAAAGUUGCGCUAAUACCGCAUACGAUCUACGGAUGAAAGUGGGGGAUCGCAAGACCUCAUGCUCAUGGAGCGGCCGAUAUCUGAUUAGCUAGUUGGUGGGGUAAAGGCCUACCAAGGCAUCGAUCAGUAGCUGGUCUGAGAGGACGACCAGCCACACUGGAACUGAGACACGGUCCAGACUCCUACGGGAGGCAGCAGUGGGGAAUUUUUGGACAAUGGGGGGCGAACCCUGAUCCAGCAAUGCCGCGUGAGUGAAGAAGGCCU
rnacentral:rRNA from 1 species